rnacentral:rRNA from 1 species
UACGUAGGUGGCAAGCGUUGUCCGGAAUUAUUGGGCGUAAAGGGAGCGCAGGCGGGAAGGUAAGUCGGUCUUAAAAGUGCGGGGCUCAACCCCGUGAUGGGAUCGAAACUAUCUUUCUUGAGUGCAGGAGAGGAAAGUGGAAUUCCUAGUGUAGCGGUGAAAUGCGUAGAUAUUAGGAGGAACACCAGUGGCGAAGGCGACUUUCUGGACUGUAACUGACGCUGAGGCUACGGAANNCGGGGAGCGAACGGG